GCUGUGCCUGGCAACUGUUGAAUAUAUUAACAGGAAUGCAGUGUGUGAUACAAUGGAAUACACUUCCGUGAUAAAAAGGAAUAGAAUGUUGACUUGUGCUAUACCUCAGACGAACCUUGGAAGCAUUGUGCUAAAUGAAAGAAAUCAGACACAAAGACCACAUAUUGUAUGGAUGUUUUUAUUCUAGAUGUCCAGGCUAGGCAAAUUCACAGAGACAGAAAGUUAAGUACUGUUUUCUAGGGCAAAGGUUUGUGGAGAUGCACCUAGGAGUAGUGAUUGCUAAAAGGUAAAGGUUUCUUUUUGAGAUAGUAAAAAUAUCCCAUCACUGUGAUAAUAGUUGCAACCUAAAUAUGAAUAUUACUAAGAACCGCUACACCAUACACGGGCGAAAAAAAUAAAAUAAAAUCCCAUCGAUUAUUUAUUUCAAAGACUGAAAUUUGGGACUAAACAUCCAAAAACCUUGUUAUUUCAAAUCCCCGCCGCCAACGAACUGGGGGGCUCCCGGGCAGGUCUCAGGCUCACGUGGGAGGUAUCCUCGCCGCAGCAGCGCUGCAGAGGUUAGUCGGGGCAGUGUAGGACGCGGCUCCCGCGGCCUCAGGUCACUGCGCGCCCCUCCUCCGGGCCUGAGUCACGGCGUCGCCCGAGUCCCCACGCGAGGAUGCUGCGGUGAGCGCCGUCCGGACGCCGCGGGCCCUGGGGCGCAGCGUGGGGCUCCCGGCCGCCCGCCCGCCUGCCCGCCCGGUGCGGCCGCUCGGGACUGCUCGGGACAGUCGGCGGCCUGCGAGCCCUGGGCCUCCAUGGCGUUCACCCGGAAGAGGCAGCGCGAGCAGCAGCUGCAGCUCUACUCCAAGGAGAGAUGCGGGUUUGUCUGUGGGAGCCGGGAUCCGACGGUCACGUUGUUGCUGAGUGGAUCCAGCGAAGCAGGCUAUGCCAGGAAAUGCAGGUUUUCCUUACUGCUUCUCAACUUGGAGGAGUACUACUUUGAGCAGCACACAGCGUUCCAUGUCCAGCACCAGGGCAGCCAGGAAGAAAGGAAAAUCAGAGGCUCCUUAAAGAUAUGUUCAAAAUCAGUGAUUUUUGAACCAGAUGCAAUAUCUCAGCCCAUUCUUAAGAUUCCUUUGAGAGACUGUUUAAAAAUAGGAAAACAUGGAGAAAAUGGAGCCAAUAAACACUUUGCAAAGGCAAAAUCAUGGGGUAUUUCACUCAUUUUCAGUCAGAUAUACUUUAUUAAGGAGCACAACAUUGUGGCACCGUAUAAGAUAGAGCGGGGAAAAAUGGAGUAUGUCUUUGAACUGGAAGUUUCUGGGAAGGUGGAAGAUGUUGUGGAGACAUUGCUACAGCUGCACAGAGCAUCCUGCCUUGAUAAACUUGGUGACCAAAUGGCCAUGAUAACAGCUAUCUUGCAGUCACGUCUGGCUAGGACAUCAUUUGACAAAAACAGGUUCCAAAGUGUUUCUGAAAAGCUGCACAUGGAGUGCAAAGCAGAGAUGGUAACACCUCUAGUGACGAACCCUGGGCAUGUGUGCAUUACAGACACCAGCCUGUAUUUCCAGCCUCUCAAUGGGUACCCGAAACCUGUGGUCCAGAUAACACUGCAGGAUGUCCGGCGCAUUUACAAAAGGAGGCACGGCCUCAUGCCUUUGGGCUUGGAAGUGUUUUGCACAGAUGACGACCUGUGUUCCGACAUAUACCUAAAGUUCUAUGAGCCUCAAGACAGAGAUGAUCUCUAUUUUUAUAUCGCCACGUACCUAGAACACCACGCUGCAGAACACACUGCGGAGAGCUACAUGCUGCAGUGGCAGCGAGGGCACCUUUCCAACUACCAGUACCUGCUCCACCUCAACAACCUGGCCGACCGCAGCUGCAAUGACCUGUCCCAGUACCCUGUGUUUCCAUGGAUAAUAAGUGAUUACUCCAGCCCAGAGCUAGAUUUGUCAAAUCCUGCAACCUUCCGAGAUCUUAGUAAGCCAGUGGGAGCCCUAAAUGCGGAGCGACUGGAGAGACUGCUGACUCGAUACCAGGAAAUGCCUGAGCCAAGAUUCAUGUAUGGGAGUCACUACUCUUCUCCAGGCUAUGUGCUCUUUUACCUCGUUAGGAUCGCACCAGAGUAUAUGCUGUGUCUACAAAAUGGAAGAUUUGAUAAUGCAGAUAGGAUGUUUAACAGUAUUGCAGAAACGUGGAAAAACUGUUUGGAUGGUGCAACGGAUUUUAAAGAGUUGAUUCCAGAAUUCUAUGAUGAAGACGUCAGCUUUUUGGUCAAUAGUCUGAAGCUGGAUCUGGGAAAGAGACAAGGCGGGCAGAUGGUUGAUGACGUGGACCUUCCAGCCUGGGCCUCAAGUCCCCAAGACUUCCUGCAGAAGAACAAGGAUGCCUUGGAAAGCGGUUACGUGUCUGAGCACCUUCAUGAGUGGAUUGAUCUGAUAUUUGGCUAUAAGCAAAAAGGGAGUGAGGCCAUAGGGGCCCAUAACGUGUUUCAUCCCCUGACCUAUGAAGGUGGUGUAGACUUGAACAGCAUUGAGGAUCCUGAUGAAAAAGUAGCCAUGCUGACCCAAAUUUUGGAAUUUGGGCAGACACCAAAACAGCUGUUUGUGACACCACAUCCUCGAAGGAUCACCCCCAAGUUUAAAAGUUUGUCCCAAGCCUCCAGCUACAACGCUUCUCUGACAGACUCCCCAGUUUCUCCAGGGGAGGAGUCGUUUGAAGACCUGACUGAGGAAAGCAGAACUCUGGCCUGGAGUAAUAUCGCCAAGCUGCAGCUACAUGAGCAGUACAAGAUCCACAAAGAGGCGGUUACAGGGAUAGCAGUGUCUUGCAAUGGCUCUUCAGUCUUUACCACCUCCCAAGAUUCCACUUUGAAGAUGUUUUCUAAGGAAUCCAAAAUGCUACAAAGAAGUAUAUCAUUUUCCAAUAUGGCUUUAUCCUCUUGUUUACUGUUGCCGGGAGACACCACUGUCAUAAGUUCUUCUUGGGAUAACAACGUCUAUUUUUAUUCCAUAGCAUUUGGAAGACGCCAAGAUACACUGAUGGGACAUGACGAUGCUGUCAGUAAGAUCUGUUGGCAUAACGACAGGCUGUACUCUGGAUCUUGGGACUCUACUGUGAAGGUGUGGUCCGGUGUUCCUGCAGAAAUGCCAGGAACAAAAAGACACCAGUUUGACUUACUGGCUGAGCUUGAACAUGAUGUCAGCAUGACUUAUCUACUGGAGAAGAAAAGAAAUGCUGUACUUCGUGUCCCUCCUCUCCUCCAGUCAGAGUUUUGCUUCUAGCAUUGUUUAGUGGUUUGGUUUUGUUCUUUAACUAGGGCAUUUUUGUUCUUCAGGAUGUUUAGACCAUGGAAAGAUUUUCUUUAUCCUGCAAUUAUGGCAGACACUUUUGCUGGAUACCAUAAAAAGUUGGCAGUUGGUCUUUCCGAAUGUGUACUGCAUUGUUCGGAGCUCUUCAGGCUUUCAGAGUUUCCAUUGCAAAAUUAGGAAUUGUUGUGAUUUGUUUUCCUUCGCAUGUGACCUGUUUUUUCCUUUGCAGAUUUCUCUGUUCAGUACGUUCAGUGUCUUCAUUGUGAUGCACUGGGAGGUGUUUCUCUUUGGGUCCUGCUUAGCUGAGGUUCUCUGUGCUUCUUGUAUGUAAUGUCUUUCCUUAGUUUCAGGAAGUUUCCUUCCAUGAUCUGGUCUGUGCUACUCUCUUGGGAUUCUUUCUUCAAUAUGCCUAUAAUAUGAAGAUUUGUUCUUUUGAUGAUGUCCCAUAUUUCCUGUAAAAUCCUUUCGUGUAUGUUAGAAAGUUUCGUUUUCUUUGCUUAUUUAAUAUACAUCCUCUAUCUCCAAGUCCUGAUAUUCUGUCUUCUGCUUGGACGAUUUCCCCCUGAAGUUUCUCACUGGGUUAAUUUUCCAAUUCAUCUUGGCUUGUAUUUCCAUCUCUUUAUUAAAUUCAGUUUUGAAAUCUUAAAUUCUCUUUAUUGAAGUUCUUGGAUAUUUCUCAGGUGUUUGUUAUUCUCAUGUUAGACUUAAGUGAAGUAUUUAUGUCUUCAUUAAAUUCCUAAAUGAAUUAUUAGGUAAAAAUUUGAUUGUUCUUUUAAAUUGUACCCUGGGGUUCAUCUAGGGAGGUCUGAGUAGAGAGCACUUGUAUGGGUUAGUGAGUGAGAAGACAUAGUGCUGUGGUCUUUCGUUGUUUGUUUGAUUUGACCUCAGCAUGUGGACUUCUUGGGUGUGUCUGGUGUGUUCGCCUGGCCUUCCUUAGACUGGGCCAAUGCAGGAGAUGUAUCACCUGAGCUAGACCAAGUAAAGCUGGAGCAGCUGUUUAAUUGGACCAAGAAAAGAGUGCUUCCAAACCACAGCUCUAGAUGUAGGCCAGGAAGAGGGGCCACAGGUCAAUACUAUCAAUUUAAAUGCUGUGAGCACACUGUUAGUUUCUGGCACCAAAGAAGGCAUGGUGAAUAUUUGGGACCUCACUACAGCCACUUUAUUACACCAGACUUCAUGCCAUUCAGGGACAGUAUGUGAUGCUGCUUUUAGCCCAGAUAGUCGCCACAUCCUCAGCACGGGCGUAGAUGGAUGUCUCAAUGUGAUUGAUGUGCAGACGGGCAUGCUCAUCUCCUCCAUGGCCUCAGAGGAGCCGCAGAGGUGCUUUGUCUGGGAUGGAAAUUCUGUCUUAUCUGGAAGUCGGUCUGGUGAGCUGCUUGUUUGGGACCUCCUUGGAGCAAAAGUCAGUGAGCGGAUUCAGGGCCACACUGGUGCUGUGACAUGCAUGUGGAUGAACGAACAGUGUAGCAGUAUUAUCACCGGAGGGGAAGACAGACAAAUUAUGUUCUGGAAAUUGCAGUAUUAAGUGCCUUUUCCUCUCCAUCAAGUACAAUUCUACUUAAUGUAUUUUAAACCAGACUUUAAACUGGUGAAUGUGCAAUGAUAGUACUUAGAAGUUUUACCACAUGAAGAAUGUGUGGUUUCAACUUCCUAAAUCAUGGUGACUUCAUUCAGAGCCAUUUGUUGUCAUCCAUUAAGCAGAUAUAACAUGGCAGUGUUAGGGGAAAGGACAGAGAACUAUCAACCAUGACAACAGUUUGAAGACUACUGGGUGUUCAGGAUAAACCCAGUCGGACUGAGGAACACUGGCCAGCACUGGCCAGCUCAGUCCCCAAGAGGACAGUCUGUAUUCAAGCUGCCCAGGUUCUGACGGUAACACGGUUCUUUGAUGUGCGGUCAUGGACUGGUUCCUUUCGGCAGUGCUGCGUGCCCAGAUUCUUAAUAACAUUAAGUCUGUUACUGUGUAUAGCAAUGGUUUAUAUUUCAUUAUGCUACUAAAGGUUCAUCUUUUCUACAUUAAAAAUAUUUUUCUGUAAUGAAA